GAGAGAUUCAUCGUCAUUCCGCGGCGUACGGGCUGCGCGCUUCGAUGUCGUCGGCUCAGGUCGUCAGGCACGACGCGCGUCCGUCGACGUCCGCGGACGGCGUGCACUUCUCUCUUAGUAAAUACAUCGCGACCCGUUCGAUGUCGGUCUAAGCGCCGUUCGGGAGCCCCAUGGUCCCUUAACGGGGUCUAUGGGACCGCGACGGUGGCCGACCGGCCGUCGGACGGUAGUUCUGACGAAACGCGCACGCGUUUAUAACGCGUCCGGCCCGACGCAAGUCAACGUCGUAUCCAACGUACCGCCUCAGCGCGGACGUAGGUGCGGCGCGUCUGUUGUUGCAGCCGUGCAGUCUCGGAC
rnacentral:rRNA from 1 species